rnacentral:rRNA from 1 species
AACGAACGCUGGCGGCAGGCCUAACACAUGCAAGUCGAGCGAGGACUUCGGUCCUAGCGGCGGACGGGUGAGUAACGCGUGGGAACGUGCCCUUUGCUUCGGAAUAGCCCUGGGAAACUGGGAGUAAUACCGGAUGAGCCCUUUGGGGGAAAGAUUUAUCGGCGAAGGAUCGGCCCGCGUUGGAUUAGGUAGUUGGUGGGGUAAUGGCCUACCAAGCCGACGAUCCAUAGCUGGUUUGAGAGGAUGAUCAGCCACACUGGGACUGAGACACGGCCCAGACUCCUACGGGAGGCAGCAGUGGGAAUCUUAGACAAUGGGGGAAACCCUGAUCUAGCCAUGCCGCGUGAGCGAUGAAGGCCUUAGGGUUGUAAAGCUCUUUCAGCUGGGAAGAUAAUGACGGUACCAGCAGAAGAAGCCCCGGCUAACUCCGUG